rnacentral:rRNA from 1 species
AGUGAACGCUGGCGGUAGGCCUAACACAUGCAAGUCGAACGGCAGCACAGUAAGAGCUUGCUCUUACGGGUGGCGAGUGGCGGACGGGUGAGGAAUACAUCGGAAUCUACUUUUUCGUGGGGGAUAACGUAGGGAAACUUACGCUAAUACCGCAUACGACCUACGGGUGAAAGCAGGGGAUCUUCGGACCUUGCGCGAUUGAAUGAGCCGAUGUCGGAUUAGCUAGUUGGCGGGGUAAAGGCCCACCAAGGCGACGAUCCGUAGCUGGUCUGAGAGGAUGAUCAGCCACACUGGAACUGAGACACGGUCCAGACCCCUACGGGAGGCAGCAGUGGGGAAUAUUGGACAAUGGGCGCAAGCCUGAUCCAGCCAUACCGCGUGGGUGAAGAAGGCCUUCGGGCUGUAAAGCCCUUUUGUUGGGAAAGAAAAGCAGCAGGUUAAUACCCCGCUGUUCUGACGGUACCCAAAGAAUAAGCACCGGCUAACUUCGUG